UCAUGCCAAAUGCGUGAUAGCUGGCAAUCCUGUACUGUGCACUUUCCUCACACCUCUUAUAUAUAUUAAUAUAUUUGGAAGAUGGAAAUGUCAUCGUUUAGUUUUUCUUUUUCUAAUCACAAACAAAUGGACAUAAAAGUUAAUUUAAAUUAGUUUAAUCAUUUUAGUAUGAUUUGAUGUUGCCAGUUUUGCCAUGCUCCUGAGUAAUAGACACUAAAAUGUAUUUUUUUUAUAGCAUUUUCAAGACACCAACUCUAGGGAUUGCCAACUUUCACGCAUCUGGCGUGACACUCACACUUUAAGACUUUUGCGCUCAUGCAAGGAAUUUUACGGCAAAUCUAUAUUAUUCCAUUAUAAACCUAAAAUUAGCUGCAUCAAAAGCGUUGGGGUAGUUUGCAAGCCCUAGAGACUUCUUACAAGGUAAUAAAACUGUUACAUACAUGUAAAUGCGUGUGCAUGAGUGUUCAGAUUUGUUUCAAAUUGAAAAUCUCACUCCAGCCAGCUGAUCAAAGUUGACAACCCCGAAGUCAUUUUUUCCAUUCCCCAAUUAACAUGUUUCAAGUAAAACGUUUUAUCUUAAGGUUGUUCUUUAGUAGGAUAUAAAUUUAGUUUUUUUCCUACAUCCUCAAUGACACUUUCCAUCCUGUUAGUCUGCUCUAACAUUCAUUCACAUAACAAUAGCUAGUCCCUUUUUAAGUCAUCCAUCAGGAAAUUACAUCAUUUAGGAUGGAAAAACAACAGCCCAACAACUCAAUGUCCACUAAGUAUUACCAAUGUGUUUUAUGAAUUUAGUAAAGUCUCAUGAAUUCAAUUAGAUUAUCUAACUAUACAAAUUCUGUCAUUUUAGGUAAAAAUCAUAGAAAUGAAUAAUUCAAUAUCAAAAUUUCCAAAGAUGCUUGAAAAAGAUCAAAUUAAUUUCAACUGUGCAUCCUAUGUUAGCUUACUUUGACUGAGCAAGACCUAACUUAACCUCUCAGUUUCCAUCCUGUUUGAUGGAGCAUGUAGCUAUCGGGAUGGAAAGUUAUAAACUCUAAUAAACACAUAUAAUGUUAAUUCAUUCAAGAGUUAUUGCUAUUUGCAUAAUGACUUUUGCAUAUUUACAUUUUUUUUACAUUACAUUAUGUCAGGUCUAUAAUUCAUUUCCAGGCUAUAUCCCAUGUAAGUUGUAUUAAUACUUGUACACAUGCCUAAGUGAACAUUGCUGAGUUCUGCUCAAAUGCACUGUACUGUAAAUCGUGCUGCGAUGCAGAACCUGAAAAAUAUCAAAAAAUAUCUUAGGGAGGAGACGAAGAACUGGCAAAGAGACAAAGAAAGUGGGAUGAAAAAGUCAAUAGCAGAUGUCAGUGUGAGAGAAGCAGUGGAGAGAACUGAAAGGGUUAGGAAAAGCUAUAGCAAGCAAGAGAGCACCUCUACAACCUACAGUAAAUCCACUGAGGCAAUGUCAAAAGGUGGAAAGAAGGAUGGCUGUUUGUCUUCAGCUGUGACCUGUGUGCUGUGUAGAGCGGAGGAAGAGAAAACAGGAAAAAACACUGGAAUAUUACAUAAGAAGUAAACAAAAGAUGCACACAUACAUUUUGGCAAAAUAUACAGCAGUGGUAUUUUGUUAAUAGGACUUUUAUUCUACACACAAAAGGU